rnacentral:rRNA from 1 species
GUAUACGCCCUUCGGGGGAAAGAAUUUCGGUGAGGGAUCGGCCCGCGUUAGAUUAGUUAGUUGGUGGGGUAAUGGCCUACCAAGACUACGAUCUAUAGCUGGUUUGAGAGGAUGAUCAGCAACACUGGGACUGAGACACGGCCCAGACUCCUACGGGAGGCAGCAGUGGGGAAUCUUAGACAAUGGGGGCAACCCUGAUCUAGCGAUGCCGCGUGAGUGAUGAAGGCCUUAGGGUCGUAAAGCUCUUUCGCCUGUGAUGAUAAUGACAGUAGCAGGUAAAGAAACCCCGGCUAACUCCGUGCCAGCAGCCGCGGUAAUACGGAGGGGGUUAGCGUUGUUCGGAAUUACUGGGCGUAAAGCGCACGUAGGCGGAUUAGUCAGUCAGAGGUGAAAUCCCAGGGCUCAACCCUGGAACUGCCUUUGAUACCGGUAGUCCUGAGUUCCAGAGAAGGAAGUGGAAUUCCCAGUGUAAAAGUGAAAUUUCGAGAU